CUGGAAGUGCUAGUAUACAUUUAAAGGAACAAAAUGCUUUAAUGCGUGUCUCUGUAUAAUUUGAUUCCUCCUUACCAUAUCCCUUUUCUUGCAACAGUCCAUUUCAGAAAUGACACCAAGACUUAUGCCAUAUCAUGGCAUACAACUCACUGCGCUUGGGUGCAGUAGUAGAAACUGAAAGAAGACAGCAAACAUACAGAGCUUGCAUUCAUCAAGCAAGCCUGUCAAGAGGGAUUGGACUGCAGCUCUUCACCGUCUUGUCUGAGAGCUGCUUGACCUACGGAUGCCUGUCUUUUCUUAGUCUGGUCAUACCAGAUAUCAUAUUGCUGCUGUGCAAGCUGAAUAGUACUGACUCCAUCAACCCAACCAAAGCGAUUAGUAGUCAUUGAUAGCAACUAACUUCGGAUGUUUUAAACUAGGGUGUUUUUUUCUGUAGUUCUGUGGGUAAAUACAUAUCUGUAUGCUGUAUUCAGAUUCAGGAGGUCCUCAAACUGCACGGGGUCAGACUGGAUUCUAAACAUUUUCAUGCUGUGGAUUUUUAAAUUGCGAGAAUUGUACUUCAGGCUCAUCUUUGCAUUGCAAUAGAUCAUUUCUAAACAGAUAGCACUUAUGCUUAAUAGGCAAAAGGAGCUUUUGUUGGUGGAGGUUUGUUAAAGACUUAAAAGUUUAUUUGGAGAUCUUUUGUUGUUGUUGUUUGGUUUUGUUUGUUUGUUUGUUUUCUGCUCUAUUGGUAUGUUGACACCUUUUGGGAAGGAAACUUUCAUUCCUAAAUAAUGACUGGUAAGCUAAUGAGAGCAGGAUAUAGAGUAAUUCUGAUUCUUCAAUUCUGUUCUCACAAGAUGGUUAUCCCACUUAGGUAUUUGUAUUGAAUCUCUUUAACGUGCACCACAAUUUACUUUAUGGAACUGUGACCUUGUGUGAGUGCUGCUGAUCUAUUAAAACAACAGAGUUGAAAAUGCUUUCUGGCUCCACAUUUCUAGGAAUUUCAUCUAUUUAUUGAAAUGGGUUGCUCUCAUAAUGUAUUGUUUGAUUUAUUGUCAUUAAAAAACAAGGUAAGAGAAAACAUUUUCUUUGUAAUGUGUUUUGAUUGGGGUAGCCAUGCAAUGAAAGUUUAUGAUAAUAAUAAAACAAAUGCUAGUGAGUUGUUUUGCA
rnacentral:lncRNA from 1 species